GAGCCGUGUGGUGAGCACAAAGCGAACUAUUCUUUCGCCUUUUACUAAAGAAUACAGUGUCCUCUCCACUUUAACGGCAUACACCUAUUUUGGAGGGGUAACUUCUUCUGAAGUUU
rnacentral:snRNA from 2 species